rnacentral:sRNA from 1 species
CAACGAACGAAAGGAGGUGAUCCAGUGUCUCAUUGUCAUCAGCCGCUCUCCCCGGCCACCCUGACCUGGACCGUCGCCUCCGGCGCUACCGUUUAAGCGCUCGGCGGGAAGAUCAAGGGAACGGCCGGACCCCAGCGGUUCGGCAAUGGAAGGCCCGCCCCUCGAGGGGCGGGCCU